AGGAAAGUUUUGGACAGAAUAACCCAAACCAAGGUCUGGAUAAUUUAAAGCCUGGGUGAAAUGGGGCAGAAAGAGCCCAGAAUAUACAGGUCUGAAUGUUGGCUGGGGAGAGGUGGAAGACUCGAGGCGCCAGACGGCUGGCCUCCCUCCAAGUGUUUACCACCCUGGUGCCAUGAGGCUGGGCCCGGCAGUCCAUGUGCUCAUUCUGUCCCUCCUUCCCUCCUUCCCCUAUACUUCUCUCCCUCCUCCCCCUGUUUUCUACAGGAUGAAGGAACUCAGACACCUACUGACCCAGAGGCAAGGCAAUGAGACCUAUGAGACAGGAAUCAGACCCAGACCUGGCCGAGGACCCUGUGGGUUUACAAUGGAUGAUCCUUCUGCCUCUGAGAUGAAUGGAAAAUCAAUCUGAGUGUCAUUAAGAGGAGAUUCCCUGAAGAAGACUGCUGGUGACAAUGGAUUUGUCACCCAACUUUCUUUUACUGGGCAAUUGGAAUUUCUUCCACAGGGGAUGAGACCUACUGCUAUUUCACUAUCUGAACUCAGGCCUUUUACUGACUUGCCAAGUUUUUAUUCUGUUGUCUCACUGUCAUUGGCUGAUCUGAUCUCUACACUGACUAAUUAGUUUCAAACCCCUUCAUAUUGACCUAAUAAACUUGGCUUGUUUAA